CCGCGGUACUCUGACCGUGCAAAGGUAGCAUAAUCAUUUGCCUUAUAAUUGAAGGCUGGAAUGAAUGGUUUGACAAGAAUGUAUCUGUCUCCUUUAGAUUGUUUAGAAUUUUAUGGAUGAAAAAGUUCAGAUCUAAUUAAAAGACAAGAAGACCCUAUCGAGCUUUAGAAAAAUUAAUGGACUUAAUAUAAUUAAUAUUGAUAAAAGAAAAGCUAUUAAAUACUUUGAUUGGGGCAAUCGAGGAGCAGCUAAAACCUCCUUUAGUGUAGUAGUCCCACCUGUGUUGAUCCAAGAAUUUUGAUUAAAGGAAUUAGUUACCGUAGGGAUAACAGCAUUAUCUUUUUUAAGAGCCCAUAUCGAAAAAAAGGUUUGUGACCUCGAUGUUGGACCAGGAUAUCCUAAAGAUGCAGAA
rnacentral:rRNA from 1 species